CUAUAUUUAAUUCACAAUUUGCAAAUGGAAAUGAUAUUAACAUCAGUUGUAGAUUUCAAUAAAUUUCUUAUCAAAUUCUUUAAUAUUCGUUAUCAUAUAUUACUGCUUUGGUGAUUGUAGCUUGUAAAAUGGGGGGUUUAUCGGCCCUUCAUAAAUUGAAUUAUUUAAUCCUCUUUUUGAUAAAAGUUAAAACUAGUUGAAAUGAAAAACUAUGUUGUGUAUCCAUAGGUUCAUUUGCUCUUAAAACUUGCACUUAUUCUGCCUAUUGCCAACUGUGGAACAAACUUUUCAGCAAUGAGCUUUUUCAACACCAUUGCACAACCACUUAUUUGAUUAAUUGAUGAAUGACUAUUUAGUUA
rnacentral:misc_RNA from 1 species